GAAUUUUGGACAAUGGGGGAAACCCUGAUCCAGCCAUCCCGCGUGUGCGACGAAGGCCUUCGGGUCGUAAAGCGCUUUUCGGGGAGAUGAGCACGGACAGUAUACCCGGAAGAAGGAUCGGCUAACUACGUGCCAGCAGCCGCGGUAAAACGUAGGAUCCGAGCGUUAUCCGAAUUCACUGGGCGUAAAGCGCAUGCAGGCGGCCGCACAAGUUGGAUGUGAAAUCUCCCGGCUCAACUGGGAGGGGACGUUCAAAACUGUGCGGCUCGAGGGCGGUAGAGGAAGGUAGAAUUCCCGGUGUAGUGGUGAAAUGCGUAGAUAUCGGGAGGAAUACCCGUGGCGAAGGCGACCUUCUGGACCGUUUCUGACGCUCAGAUGCGAAAGCUAGGGGAGCGAACGG
rnacentral:rRNA from 1 species